rnacentral:tRNA from 1 species
GGGGUUGUAGCUCAUUGGGAGAGCACACGGCUGAAGACCGUGGUGUAGGGAGUUCGAUUCUCCCCAGCCCCA